rnacentral:rRNA from 1 species
AUGCCCAUCGCAGGUAGGUGCGUGCUGGUUCAAUGUGUGCUCGCGGCCAUGCCCACUUUUGCCAUCCCCGUGCUGCGGCCAUCAAAGAAGGUUUUCAAAUAAGUUGACAAGGCCAGAAGGCGGUUUCUUUGGGCGCAAGACGAGGAGGCCACCGGCGAAAAGUGCAAGGUCGGUUUGCAGGCGGUGACCGCGCCGGAGCGCGCCGGGGGACUGGGCAUUCACGACCUGGCAAAGUUUUCUCGUGCCCUUCGCCUCCGCUGGCUUUGGCUCACAUGGACGCAGCAAACAUGUUCUUGGGUCGGCACAGCCACCCCGUGCGACGACAAUGAUUGUGCUCUGUUCGCUGCUUGCGCGGUGGUCACCAUCGGCAAUGGCGCGAUGGCUUCCUUAUGGUUCUCCUCAUGGCUCAAUGGCAGACAGCUAUGCCUGGCAUACCCAACAGUGUUCGCUCAAUCAAUCCAAAAAAAUAGAUCAGUCCAGGAAGCCCUACACCAAGACAGAUGGAUCCUCGACCUCCGUCAUGGUGGUGACCAUGGUUUUGGGUACCGCCCGAGAAAAACGGUUACCGCGCGGUUACCGAGAUUCUCGCCGGCCCACGAGAAAGUCAUAUCCCGAGCAAAAAAUCCCGGAAUUUUUGAAUUUUUACCUUUCAAUCUGUAG